rnacentral:rRNA from 1 species
AGAAUGAACGCUGGCGGCGUGCUUUACACAUGCAAGUCGAGCGAGGCGGGUAGCAAUACCCACUCGAGCGGCGAACGGGUGAGUAACACGUGAGCAACCUGCCCCAUGCUUUGGGAUAACCCUCGGAAACGGGGGCUAAUACCGAAUAUUCACGACGGAUCGCAUGGUUUGUUGUGGAAAGUUUUUCGGCGUGGGAUGGGCUCGCGGCCUAUCAGCUUGUUGGUGGGGUAAUGGCCUACCAAGGCGACGACGGGUA